rnacentral:rRNA from 1 species
AGUGAACGCUGGCGGUAGGCCUAACACAUGCAAGUCGAACGGCAGCACAGUAAGAGCUUGCUCUUACGGGUGGCGAGUGGCGGACGGGUGAGGAAUACAUCGGAAUCUACUUUUUCGUGGGGGAUAACGUAGGGAAACUUACGCUAAUACCGCAUACGACCUACGGGUGAAAGCAGGGGAUCUUCGGACCUUGCGCGAUUGAAUGAGCCGAUGUCGGAUUAGCUAGUUGGCGGGGUAAAGGCCCACCAAGGCGACGAUCCGUAGCUGGUCUGAGAGGAUGAUCAGCCACACUGGAACUGGGACACGUUCCAGACUCCUACGGGAGGCAGUAGUGGGGAAUAUUAGACAAUGGGCGCAAGCCUGAUCCAGCCAUACCGCGUGGGUGAAGAAGGCCUUCGGGUUGUAAAGCCCUUUUGUUGGGAAAGAAAAGCAGCAGGUUAAUACCCCGCUGUUCUGACGGUACCCAAAGAAUAAGCACCGGCUAACUUCGUG